rnacentral:rRNA from 1 species
UCACACCGGUUUAAACUCAGAUCAUGUAAAAUUUUAAAGGUCGAACAGACCUAAUAUUUUCAGCUUCUACACCAAAAAUUCAUUUUAAUCCAACAUCGAGGUCGCAAACAAUUCUUUCGAUAAGAACUCUCAAAAAUUAUUACGCUGUUAUCCCUAAGGUAAUUUAAUCUUUUAAUCAUAACUAAUGGAUCAAUUUUUCAUAAAUCAAUGUAUUUAAUUAUUAAAAGUUCAUUAAAUUUUACAAUCACCCCAACCAAAUAAAAUAAUUAAAUUAAAAAUUUAUAUACCAAUAAAUUUCAUAAUAAAAUUUUAUUAAACUCUAUAGGGUCUUCUCGUCUUUUAAAGCAAUUUUAGCUUUUUAACUAAAAAAUAAAGUUAUAUUAAAUUUUAAUAGAGACAGCCAUUUUCUUAUCAAACCAUUCAUUCCAGCUUCUAAUUAAGAAACUAAUGAUUAUGCUACCUUAGCACGGUCAAAAUACCGCGGCCAUUUAACUAAUUCAGGGGGCAGGCUAGACCUAAAAUCAUUUUCAAUAGGCCAUGUUUUUAAUAAACAGGUAAAAAAUUUCUUUGCCGAAUUCCUUUAUUAAACCUAAAAUUUAAACUUAAAUACACAAAAAAAUAUACUAAUUUUAUCAUUAUUACUUAACUUUUCUAAUUUAAAUUAAAAUUUUAAUAUAAAACUUAUAAAUUAUAAAAAUAAUAAACUAAUCUAAAUAAAUUAUAACAUUUUUAUAAUGAUAGAUACUUCUAAUCCUACAAAUUUAGUAACAAUCAAUGGUUAAUAAGAUUUUAUCCUUAAGCUUAUCCCUAAGAAUAUUAAAUAAAUAAAAUAAAAAAUUAAAAAAUUAAAAUUUUAUUAAAAAUAUUCAAAAUUAAAUUUUUUUCUUAAAAAACUAGAUAUAUUUAAAAACGAAUAACGUUUCAUUACAAAUAAAUUAUUACUAAUAUUUAUUCAACAAUAAAAAUAAUAAAUUAUUAGCUCUUUUAAAUUCGAGAUAAAAAAAUAAAUUUUAAAUAUUUAAUAAACCCUGAUACACAAGGUACAAAAAAUUAAUUCUUCUUAAAAUUAAAAACAAAAAUUCUUCUACAAUACUAGUUAACUAUAAUUAAAAUUAUCUUUUCUUUAUUAAUAAUAAAACAAUUAAUUUAUUUAUUUUAAAAAUUAAAUUUAAAAAUAAAAAUAAUAAAUUUUUAAUU